rnacentral:lncRNA from 1 species
UGUUUCAAUAUCUGCUUUUGAUAGGUUAAUAUGUAGUAACAUCAUAUACAAGAAAAGCAAGUCAAUGUUAGGGACCUUUUUGCAGAUUGGAACUUGCUCUGGUAGGAGUCUUUCUGGUAGCAAAAGAAGGACGAGAAAAUCCAACAGAAGAUAGAACGAGCAUCUAUCACCAAUUCACCAUAAAAAGGAAGGAGUAACUAGUAAUGAUAGAGCAAAGUCUUCUACCGUUCUAACAAUAGGAAGGAAAUUUUCUAUUUAUUACGCGGUCUGAGGCUGGUAGCCGGUAAAAAUAACUCUGUGCUGAUUAAGGAU